rnacentral:lncRNA from 1 species
AUGCGUCUGCGCCCGGGGCAGCUGGCGGAACCGGCUCCCGGUGCUGCGGCUUCCGGUCUGGUGACCUCACCUGCGGCUCCGCGGCCGGUGUGCCUUCUGCCUGCCUUGUCUCUAAGUCCCAGUUCAAAGGUGUUCUGUGUCUGGACCAUUCUGACCAGGUCCAAGGAGAACUUGAGUUGUGUGUGUCUACAGGAGAGGCCAGAUGGAAUCCUGUAUUUGCUGACCACCAAGCAAGGGGCACCACGUGUCCUGUUCCCAGCUGAGCCAGUAUUAGACACACAAAGAAUGACCAUAAAGAUAUAGGAGUUCAAAAUAUCACCGUGGAAUUGUUAAAAAGGAAAAAUGAUUAUCUCUUAUGAUUUUCCUUGGAUUCACUAGGUCUGUGUUCCACAAAUCAACUCAACCUGAUUACUUAAAUGGACAGCAACAUCAACAAAACCCAAUGGCUUUAUUUUUGGGGUGUGAGUGUAAUUUUAGAAAUAUUUUGAAUUCAAUCUCUGACAUCUUUAAAUAAUUUAGAAUUAUAUUUUAAUUAAGAAAUAUAAUAAUAUAUUAAAAAUUUGCAAUAUAAGAUUAAAAUCAUUGCAAAUGUGUGAGAUACUGAGGGAAAUCUGUAACCUCCUGAUUCCAUUGAAGUUUUUGUUUCAACUGAGUGACUUCUAAUGAAUGAGAACAGCUGCCAGUAACUCUUGAUUUUGGAAUAAAUGAUAAUAGUCAGUAUAGAAUGUCUCA